GGAAAGGGCGUCGCUUCUGAUAGAAGUUGAUGUGGUUGAACCUUCCGUGGAGUUGCGAAGGCGCUUACCGGACACGCCAAGACUGGUCAUUCAAGGAGAUACAAUGAUGCCACAGACUUGGAUGCUGGCAGCAGAGGGUGAGGUGAUCCU